UGUUAUAGUGUGGGGUCAUUAUAUAUGAGGGGUUAUUCUGGUGUGUGUUAUAGUGUGGGGUCAUUAUAUAUGAGGGUUAUUCUGGUGUGGGGUCAUUAUAUAUGAGGGGUUAUUCUGGGGUGUGUUAUAGUGUGGGGUCAUUAUAUAUGAGGGGUUAUUCUGGUGUGGGGUCAUUAUAUAUGAGGGGUUAUUCUGGGGUGUGUUAUAGUGUGGGGUCAUUAUAUAUGAGGGGUUAUUCUGGUGUGGGGUCAUUAUAUAUGAGGGGUUAUUCUGGGGUGUGUUAUAGUGUGGGGUCAUUAUAUAUGAGGGGUUAUUCUGGGGUGUGUUAUAGUGUGGGGUCAUUAUAUAUGAGGGGUUAUUCUGGUGUGUGUUAUAGUGUGUUGUGUUAAGUUUGUGGGUGUCAGUGUGAGAAAGGUCAUCAUUGUAGCUCAGCACUUAUGCCCCAGAGAGAGGGGGGGUGAAAGAGAGAUGAAUGAAGAGAGAGAGAGGUGGAUAUGGAGGGAGAUAGAGAGAUAGGAAUGGAGAGAGAGGUUUCAAUCACCCUACAGAAGCCUUGACAGAAGGCCUACAUCACAGUGAUCUGAGGAUAUUACUGAACAGCAAAUUGAAUUUGACAUCAUUUCCUCCUCCUCAGCUAGCCAGCAGAAAAAUGAGAGAUUGGGAGAGAGAGAGAGAGAGAG
ensembl:lncRNA